UGCACUUUAGAAACACUGCCUUGAAACGCUGGGCAUGGUGGCUCACGCCUGUCACCCCAGCUACUAGGGAGCUGAGACAAGAGGUUGUGAGCUGUUUGUUGUGAGCAACAAAGCAAAGCCUUGUGUGAAAAGAAAAGAAAACAUUGCCUCAAGGAACAGGAGAGUUAUAGAUUAGUUGCUAAGGGUAUUUGGGAUUGUACUCCUUCCCCAUUUUAUUUCACAUUCUGAGGGUUGAAGCCAGAACCUCCUGCAUACUAGCCAAGGACUCUACCACUUUCCCUCCCCAUUUGAAGAGGGUACUUUGGAGUUACAAAAGACACGUCUAUCAGAAAAAAUGAUUAACCAAUUAGAUGUGAACCCUGGUGCCUACUGGGGAGGAGUGCCAUGCUGCUGGGGCUGAAAAGUGCUGCUGUCCUUGGUCAUUAUCUGUCUGCUGAAAACAUGUGUCCAGCCUUCUCCAUCAGCAUUUCACAGCCCUUGUUGUUAAUCAAGAUCCAUUCCCAUGUCCCAGCAAGCAAGCCAGAAAAUUGCAAGACAGCCAUAAUAAAUGUUUGGUGGCUUGGAGUACCUAUGUUGAUCAAGUCUGAUACUGGUCAAAGAAAGGAUGCUUCAGCAUUCCAGGGACUUUGGCCUGAAGUGGAGAGUAGGUAAAGUUAAUCACCUUUUGAAUCCCACUCAGAAACACACGAUUUAGCAGCAUUAUCAUUUUCUCCAGCCUUUUAGAAUACUAUUUCUGUAUCAAACUUACCAUG
rnacentral:lncRNA from 1 species